UGGAAGUUAAGUUUUCUCUCAAUUCUCUCUCAAAUCUCACCUUGGCCAACUACAUAUACAACCUUUUCUCUCUGAUUUUUCUUCACAAAAUUCUCAUUCAAUCCUUCCUUUCUCAUCUUCUAUCUUUCGUAUACCUAGUUCCAAGUUACCUAGUUCUAGGUUGGAGUUAAGAAGUCUACACACAAAGUUAGUUCUACAAAAGGUUUACAUGAAUCGAUUUCUAUUCUUUUUCAAGGAAAAUAGUUUUUAUGGCGGGAAAGGUUCUUGGACGCUUGGGGAUGUGUAUUGAGGCGGAAUGGAGUCAAAGGACCGAGUGUUCGAUUCGAGGAUGAAGUCUCUUUAAUUAUGGUUUUAUAUGUAUUUUUUGCACUUUAUUAUGUAAUCCAUUUUAUUUACAAUUAUGUUAUGUUUUUCUUUUAAACAAUGGGAUCCCAUAUCCUACUUUAAAUUUUAUGUUGUUUAACAUUGUUUUACAAGUUUUAAUGAAGUAAUGAUUAUUUCACUUGUAAGUUUUAUUAAAAAUUAAUGUCUAUGUAUAGUUUUAGUUAAUGGUCCAUAGUCUAGAGUAGUUGGGUCAUUACAGUUGGUAUCAGAGAAAACGGUUCCAUCGCACGAAGUUCUCCUCGAUACACACACUCAAAGCUCCGAAUCUGACCACCAAGAAAAUAGUUUUGAUGGCGUGAAAGGUUCUUGGACGCUUGGGGAUGUGUAUUGAGGCAGAAUGGAGUCAAAGGACCGAGUGUUCGAUUCGAGGAUGAAGUCUCUUUAAUUAUGGUUUUAUAUGUAUUUUUCGCACUUUAUUAUGUAAUCCAUUUUAUUUACAAUUAUGUUAUGUUUUUCUUUUAAACAAUGGGAUCCCAUAUCCUACUUUAAAUUUUAUGUAGUUUAACAUUUGUUUUACAAGUUUUAACGUAGUAAUGAUUAUUUCA